AGAGAUUUAGGAUAACUCAGACCAAAGACCUUCAAAGCCUUAAGCAAGGGUGAAAACCCCUUAAUCUCUA
rnacentral:tRNA from 1 species